rfam:Drosophila simulans chromosome X, whole genome shotgun sequence.
UUGAGUUUUUGAUUUUAAACACUGCCUACAUCCUGUAUGUGUUUUGCAUCCGAUACAGUUGUAGGAGUCGUUUGCAGUCAGAGAUUUCACA